rnacentral:tRNA from 1 species
CGUCGUGUGGUUUAGUAGCGAGGAUUUGUGGAUUUUACCCACACGACUUGGGUUCGAAUCCCGGCACGGAGA